rnacentral:rRNA from 1 species
CAGCCGCCACGGUAAUACGAAGGGUGCAAGCGUUAAUCGGAAUUACUGGGCGUAAAGCGUGCGUAGGCGGUUUGUUAAGUCUGUUGUGAAAUCCCCGGGCUCAACCUGGGAAUGGCAAUGGAUACUGGCAAGCUAGAGUGUGUCAGAGGAUGGUGGAAUUCCCGGUGUAGCGGUGAAAUGCGUAGAGAUCGGGAGGAACAUCAGUGGCGAAGGCGGCCAUCUGGGACAACACUGACGCUGAGGCACGAAAGCGUGGGGAGCAAACAGGAUUAGAUACCCGUGUAGUCCCUGUCUCUUAUAA